rnacentral:rRNA from 1 species
CAGCCGCCGCGGUAAUACGUAGGUGGCAAGCGUUGUCCGGAAUUAUUGGGCGUAAAGCGCGCGCAGGCGGAUAGGUCAGUCUGUCUUAAAAGUUCGGGGCUUAACCCCGUGAUGAGAUGGAAACUGCCAAUCUAGAGUAUCGGAGAGGAAAGUGGAAUUCCUAGUGUAGCGGUGAAAUGCGUAGAUAUUAGGAAGAACACCAGUGGCGAAAGCGGCUCUCUGGCUUGUAACUGACGCUGAGGCUCGAAAGCGUGGGGAGCAAACAGGAUUAGAUACCCCAGUAGUCCCUGUCUCUUAUACA